AGUCACUGUUGACCAAUAAUAACAAAUACUUUUAUUCUCAGCAUUUCCUUAGAAAAGUUGCACAGUACGAAAGACUUGAUUCUGAACUCCAAAGUAGUAUAGAAACCAAAAGGGCAGAAAAUGUGCUGUUGAGUGAAAAGAGUGAAUUACUAAACCAACAAGUCAGUGAAAGGAAACUAGUUCACACAGGAGGAGAGGACCCACAAGAAAAGCAGACUGCUACUAAAAAAUACCAAGGUUUGGUGAGACACAGACAGUUAAAACAAAUAGCUGAAAAGCAGAGAGAACAGAUUGAAAUCCGCCGUCAAA